rnacentral:pre_miRNA from 1 species
UGGCAGUGCCGUACUAGCUGGCUGUUUGGGUAUAACAGUCUCUAGCUGCACUCCACA